GACGUGCGUCCCGGCCACGCUUCCUGGAAGAGAUGCAUUGCGGAGCUCGCUGGUGGGGCGUUGGGUUUCUUUAGGAGUGUGAGUCUAGCGUUAUCCCUUUUUUCCCGUCUGGGUCCCGGGUUACCCCACCAGCCCGACCUCAACCCCCUCGCGUCCACAGCACGAGCCCCAGCGGCCUUGCGCGGUGCUUACUCUCUAGUAGCGGCUGACUAGGUCAGGCAGGAUCUUUGAUUUUGGAGCACAAGGCUUCUGCGUGCUACUGACUGGGUCCUGGCCUCCCUCCUUCCAUGGCACCGUCGUGAAUGGGAAUUUCCGCCACUGCCUCCAUUAGUCAGAAGACUGAACAUGUUGUAACUGUAGAAAGUCCAUCAUCCUUGUGUAUGCACUUGAAAGAUCCACUGAAGAGCAACCUUCGUGAACAUUACCAGGGGACUUGUGCUCCUAUAAAACGCACUGUUUUCCUCACUGCAAGGGGGGUCUCUCACACCGCAAUGGACUAUCUGUGAUCACAGAGCACUUCUUCCCUGGGCCUUCCCUAUCACACUGAUGGCGUGAGUAUGUAGGGCAGGGGUGGGAGUAAACAUGUUAACCUCUUUUGAAUAAACUGAUUUUGAAGUAGAUGUCUCAAAAAAAA